rnacentral:lncRNA from 1 species
AUGUGUCUGCAGCCGGUGAGGAAGCCCAGGCACACAGAAUCCUGCAGACCUCCCCAGCCCCUCCGCAUCCACAGAGAGCACUCAGGAACCAAAUGGACAUUUUCUCCCAGGUACACUUACUGUAAUGAAAUCCAUAGACUGGACAAGAAGCAUCCUUUAGGUAGGCUCUUUUAUACAUUAAGUGGAAACUCUUCUUCUGUGUGUUGUCUUUUCAGAAGGAAGCACUGUCCCUCCCUGUCUGUGGAAAGGCUUCACCCAGACACACAGAAAGGAGGGCCGGAGGAACAUGAACUCUUUACUGUGUGUGUGUGAUGGGUGUGAUUUAUUGCACCUUCCUUUAAGGCCUGGAGGCUGAUGCAGGGGGCAGUGGAGGCGGCAUGACGUAGGGUCAUUAUUGUACCCUUGGGCAGCACGGGUGUUUUCUAAGUGCUCUGGAAUCACUUAUUUACUAUCCCCACAGCACCUCCAGGAAGGAAGGUCAGCAUUAUCAUCCUGGCUUGGGAGGAGAUGGAUUUGAAACCCAGAAAGGUAGGAGGCAGGCCACGCUGAAUCAGUGCUGAGCCAUCUCCUCCAGCCAGGAUCUCAGUUAAUCUAUUCCUUCGGGAAAGGUAGCACUUUCCAUAGCCUCUGAAGACACCUGGAUGGGGAAAAGCCAGGGCACAAGCUUCAAGAUGCCGAUUCAUUCUGGUUAUUUCAGGAGAAAAAGUGAAUAGAAACUGAAAUUUAAUAUGUAUAUUCAGGAGAUCCACAAACUCUCUAGCGGUGAGGAACUAAAAGCAGUUGUAUAAGCCACACAUAGAAGUUGUUUACCGAGUGUCAAGGUUACCAGAUCCACGCUGUUUGUUAGUAGUAGAGUAGCCCACACCCAGUGGGCAGGCAGGGGAACAGGGCUGCAGGUCCCAAAGGUGCCCUAGCUCUUCUUAGCUGCCCUGCUUUGUGUUCUGUAAGGGAAUGGGUAAGAUUGGAGGUUUACUUGGAGCAGUAAAUUGGAACGCGAAGCAAUGCAUUCUGAUUCACCUCAGCCUCCCUACCCCCACCACACACACACACACACACACACACACACACACACAGGCAAUGCAGGAUUUUAACCUGCUGGCUUCACUAGAGAACCAGGAAGGAUGAGACCUGGGUUUGCAAGCUCAAAGAGGCAGGGUUGUCUCCCUCUCUGCUGGAAGAGAGAUGGAGGGGAGAUGCAGAGAUGAAGCCCAGAGAAAACCUCAAUGUAGUGGGUAUGAGUGUGGACCUGGCAAUAAAUAUGAGGCUGGCCCAAGGACCGUCAGCAUCAGCAUCACCAGGGAGCUCGUUAGAAAUGCCGAAUAUUGGCUCCCACACUGAUGUACCUGAUAGUCAGACUCUCUGAGGGCAGAGUCCAGGAAGCUGUGUAAUAAGUGCUCCAGGUGAUUCUUAUGUGUGCUAAAGACUGAGAAGCACUAGCUCUGGGGUCAGACAGCCUGCUCCAUCACUUUGGCUAUGUGACCCGACAGCCUCUCUAGGCCUCCAUUCCUACCUUUGUAAAUUGCAUACAGUGGCAAUACCUACCCCUUGGGGUUGUUGGGUAGUGAGAAUCAUAUGAGAAAUUGUGUGUAAAGCACUUUGAGCAGAGCCUGACACAUAAGGAACCCCCACUAAAGCAUACAGAAAAAAAAAAUACAGACUGUCCCUUCUUCAACUCUUAAACCCCACUUCCACCCAGAACUUGUGCUCCUGACUACCAUCCAAGGUUAACUCUUGGCCCAUGGUCAACUCGAACUGACAACAAACACUUGGAUCCUGACGAAGUCAUUCGUGACCCAUUCAUUCACAGAUCACAGGCAGUCCACAGGC